AAGCAGAGUGCACGACUGUUUCCGUGACUACUGAAUGAAUCAGUGAUGAAAAGAAAUCAUUAACUACACUUCUACCACGAAGGUGUCCUACAGCAGCCGUCACAGACUUAUUCUGACAGACUCGUUGUAAUUUUAUAGCUGUAGUGUCCACUGGCACCAGUGCAAACCAGAGCUACUAACAAGAGAAACAUGACAGUGUUUGCUACAGGACUUAUGAUUGGGGAUACUGAAGCAGAGGAUGCAGUUCAAAAAGAAAAAAGAAAGGCCCGCUAUAGACAGGACCUGCUGGAGCAAAUAGCGGAAAAUGACAGAAAAAGGAAAAAGGAAAAGGAACUCAAAUGGAAAGUUGCUGCUACAGGAGCUAUUGACCCGGAGAAAGAGCCUGACAGGAUUAAGCAGUUUGGUUCUGCAAGAAGGGAGCAUGAGGGCAGGAGACAGGAUGCACGCCUUACAAUAAGCACUGGGGUCAG